rnacentral:rRNA from 1 species
GACGUAGGGCGCGAGCGUUGUCCGGAUUUAUUGGGCGUAAAGAGCUCGUAGGCGGCUUGUUGCGUCGACUGUGAAAACCCGCGGCUUAACUGCGGGCUUGCAGUUGAUACGGGCAGGCUAGAGUUCGGUAGGGGAGACUGGAAUUCCUGGUGUAGCGGUGAAAUGCGCAGAUAUCAGGAGGAACACCGAUUGCGAAGGCAGCUCGCUGGGACGUAACUGACGCUGAGACGCGAAAGCGUGGGGAGCAAACAGG